GACGAACGCUGGCGGCGUGCUUAACACAUGCAAGUCGAACGGAAAGGCCCUGCUUUUGUGGGGUGCUCGAGUGGCGAACGGGUGAGUAACACGUGAGUAACCUGCCCUUGACUUUGGGAUAACUUCAGGAAACUGGGGCUAAUACCGGAUAGGAGCUCCUGCUGCAUGGUGGGGGUUGGAAAGUUUCGGCGGUUGGGGAUGGACUCGCGGCUUAUCAGCUUGUUGGUGGGGUAGUGGCUUACCAAGGCUUUGACGGGUAGCCGGCCUGGGAGGGUGACCGGCCACAUGGGGACUGAGAUACGGCCCAGACGCCUACGGGAGGCAGCAGGGGGGAAUAUUGCACAAUGGGCGGAAGCCUGAUGCAGCAACGCCGCGUGCGGGAUGACGGCCUUCGGGUUGUAAACCGCUUUCGCCUGUGACGAAGCGUGAGUGACGGUAAUGGGUAAAGAAGCACCGGCUAACUACGUG
rnacentral:rRNA from 1 species